GGGCAGAGAAUUCCAUGUCCUCUCUCACAUCCUAAUGGUGGUGGUUGAACCAGGAGCCAGUUUAUUCCCAAAUGGUGUUCCUUGGCUCUAUGCUGUGUUUGCUGUGCUUUUUGUAUUUUUUCUUUUUGCCAUGUUAUCUCCCUUUUUACUUGAGAUAGACCAGCACAUAAAGAAAUGCUGUCCUCUGGAGUCACCAAGGAGAGGAGUUCUGGGAGGGAAGAAAAAUGGGAUGGGAAACGACCCAUUACUAUUUGUGAAAGUGACAAAAGAACCCAGGGAUUCUGAGGCUGAAAUCUAUACCCCUGGGCCUUCAGUUUGAGAGUCAUUUAGCCUAUAUGGAAUUACCUGUGACAUUACAUUCCAGAGAGAUGAGAAAUUCUGAGACCCUUAUUAUCGAUGUUUAUAUUGAAAAAAUGGUAAUAAAUAUUUUGAGACUCUCAG
rnacentral:lncRNA from 10 species